rnacentral:misc_RNA from 1 species
GAACGCACAUUGCGCCCUUCGGUAUUCCGUUGGGCAUGCCUGUUCGAGCGUCAUUUAAACCUUCAAGCUCUGCUUGGUGUUGGGUGUUUGUUCCGCCUCAGCGCGUGGACUCGCCUCAAAUUCAUUGGCAGCCGGUAUGUUGGCUUCGUGCGCAGCACAUUGCAAGCGAUUUCAGCAGACCCCUUUCCACAAGCCUUUUUUACUUUGACCUCGGAUCAGGUAGGGAUACCCGCUGAACUUA